AUUAUGUAUUAUUAUACAUAAUAAUAGGUAAUGGUCAUGUUUUUCCUAUAUUUUUAUACCUUUUAUUUUGCCUUUACUGUCUGUACUAAUAUGCGUUCACUGUAAAGCUGCUUUGCAACAAUGCUAAAUUAUAAAAGUGCAUUAGUAAUAAAUCUAAAUUAAUUACAUUUUUGGAAUAGAAUAUUCACAUAAACUUUUUUAUAAAUUCCACAUAGCCAACACCGUCCUUGGUAACAAACAUCACAACUUUUAUGUAUUUUUGUUUACUGGUUAUAAGUAAUGGAACAACCUUUAAGGAUUUCCAGUCUUUAUAAAAGACUCAUCACCAAUUCAUUAUCACACAAUUAUGCACAUUUCCAUGUUUGUACAAUAAAAUUAAUGCAUGGAGUAUCACAUCUCUGAAAGGCUUUAUCCCUAUUCUAAAUUCCAAUGCCCUAAACUGGAGGUAAUAAGUUGUGUCUCCAGAGAAUGACAGGACACACACUCGGUUUUCUUUUAAGCUUCAUAGUAUUGCUCUUUUUUUGUACAAAUCAAUGCUUUUGGGUAGACAAACAAUAGCACACAUGAAUGACUAUUUUUACCAUCACAUUGUAAUGUUUUUUCAGGUUGUAAUACUAUUCACAGGUCCCUGUCAUACAAAGACUGUUUUUCUCUUUAUCCUGUUUUAAACUACUAGUGUCUUUGGACAAAGUGGUGAAUUCGCCUGAAAGAGAUCAACAGAACAUAGUUUACAUACACAUGCCUAAAUACGCAUGUACAUAUUCUAUGUGCAUCAUACUAUUGUAAUUGUAUAUGGUGCAUUUUUAAUGUGUUUUUACGUGGCUUGCUCCAGUAACACACGUACAAGCUCUUUUCACUCACUAAAGGUUUAUUCAGAAGUCAUAAAUGACAAACAUGACGACAACGAUAAUAAACAUCAGACAUAAGAACUGAAAAUAUUGACAAAUAAUUGCAUCUUUGUCUUCUAUACGACUCAAUCAACAAACUGUUAUAAUAACAUCCCAACAAACACCAAAAAAAAGAAUAUAACGGUUAACUGACAAGUAUAUAUCAAUCAAACUAACACAAAAAAAUAAAGCAUAAACAUGCGGUAUACAAUUCAGUAUCACAAGUAAACAAACACACCAUACUAUACACGCUAAAGCAAUAAACGUAAACAGUAACCACCUACAGAAAGGUGCAAGACAACAAAGAAAACUACUCCACUUAUUCCACACUUCGUUAACUUUACCUGUCUGAUUUUAACACACAAAAAAAAGAGUGCAAGCGCAUUAGUACAUUAGUGUUCAGCUGUGCGUAUAUUUAUAUCUCCGGAUUCAAUUCAAUUCAAUUUUAUUGAUAUAGCGCUUUUCACAAUGUGCAUUGUUCCAAAGCAGCUUUACAGGAGCAAAUAAGAAAAACACAGAAAGGUAAAACACAGCACAGUGCAUGGUGUUUAUAGACCAAGCAAGAUCAUUAUAAUAAAUAAUAUCUAAUAAAUAAAUGCAGUCUCCCGGUGAGCAAGCCAACACUGCACUGCUGUGGCGAGGAACCCAAACUCCAAUGCUGAAUAAUGGAGAAAAAAAAAACUCGGGAGAAACCAGGCUCAGCCGGGAGGGCCAGAUCUCCUCUGACGUGUCAUAGCUGCACUCAGUGACCCUGACCAAAGCCACCGAGCAACGUCCACGAAGAACAGGGAGAGCCCACGAGCCGUGACCCAGGAAGCCCCACCCGCCGAAACCGUGCAGGUCCAACCCGGUCCCAUUCUGCGAUCAACAACAGACAACAGAGGGACAACCAGGGAAAAGUGAAUGAAAACAGUUCCGUCUUAAUUAGUUCCGCUAAACGAUAAUCCCGUUAAGACAUCAUUAUCAUUCACUUCUCUUUAGUAUUGUGAGUUUGUUUUCAUUCGUUGUAUGUGUUUUAAUGAAUCUGUACUCUGGAAGCUGUCAUCAAAAUUCCCUGUGUGUGUGUGUGUGUGCGUGCGUGCGUGCGUGUAAGCAUACUUGACAAUAAAAUGUUCAUUCACACUAUUUAUGUUUCCUGUGUAACAUGUCUAAUCGUUACCACAAAUAACCACUAGAUGGCACAAGCGUAUAAAGAUUGACGUUCUUCUUCGUCACCGUUGUUAAGAGCUCCUCCUCUAAAGGAAGUUGCGACGUUGGUGAGCUGGGCUGUCGUAACCGCUAGGUCAGUGCACGUCUACACAUUAAUGAAUAUUCACAAUAAAACGAAGGCACGCAUCACUGCAUUAAUAGUCAUAAGAAGGAUUACAAGCUGUUACGACAGCCAGUGUCAACAUGACAACACACCUUCGUUUUAUUUGAAUUAUUCAUGAUGUUGUGACCCAAACACUACGUUAAGCUUACAGUGAAUUUACCUCAUAAGCCACGGACAUUGACGCAAGGUAAACGCACAAGGAAGAAGCAAAACCUGCCACCGAGAAAUACAAGAAGAGAAACCGCAGAAGAAGAGAAUGAGAAAUAGUUUCGUUGGGAAAAUGGCUUAGGGCAACAGACAGUCAGUCAGGCUUGUGUGACGGAGGCCAGCUAGUGAAGAGCUGUGCAGUGUGUAAACCUCACUCCCCGACCAACAGAGACGCUCUAGCGACAGACGCAGGGGACUGCGGUCUUUAGCCUCCAAGUUAGAGCGCUCGUCUCCCAUCCGGACCGUCGCCGGUUCGAGGCCCGCGCAUCGCAUUGCGAGUGGAACCGGUUACACGUGCACAGACAGAGUGGCCAGCGAGGUGAGUUAUGUUAACAGGAAUACGCUGUAUUUGCAAGAUGUAAAGGGGUUCGCAAUGCUUCCAAGUUAACAUAUUAAAUAAUAUUCUCAAAUCUUGCUGAUCUGACGCUCAUUCUAGGAUUUUUCAUUGGAAUAGCCAUUGAUACAAAAUUCAUUUUAAGGGAAAAUAAUUGUCUUAUUUCAGAUAUUACUAAUACAAGCCACUUUUGUUGAAGAUUUUCUUCUUUGGAUGUUUGGCCGUAACAGAUUAUGUGCCUGUGUUGAUUCACAAGCUUGACAGAUGCUGAUUUGGAUGACAACAUAAUAAUAAAUAAACCAGAAGCUGAAUCUGCUUGUUGCGGGACUGCAUACAUUAACAAAGGAGUUUUUUUUUGCAAAAUAUACUUGGACCAACCUGCCUUGAAGCGCACCAAGCCAUGUACUGCACAGGUGGAUAUAUGAAUGCUUAUUUAAAAUUAUUUUCCUGUGCACACGUGAUUAUUCAGCCUUAUAUUGUUGUAAGCAAUAUUAGUUUACACACUUCAAGUUGUUGUGUCUGUGUUUAUUACAGAAAAACCUUAAAAGCAUUUAAGGCCUUAUAUGUAAGCAUGUGUAGCUCAGGGUCACUGGUUUCAAUUAUGCUUCAUUAGUUGCUGUAACAUCCUUGUCUGCUAUACAAACCUAUUUUAUCUAUACAGUUUCUUUGUAUGUUUCUCUUUUAUCAUAAUGUGUAACUUUCUUACACUUUCUAUGAGCGGCCUCUACACUAAUAUCAGUUUGUUUUGUUUUCCAUGCCCCGUCCUGGAGUUCCCGAAGACACCAGAGGUCGCCAGUCCAAGCUCCGGGUUGUGGACUGAUGCUCUUCCCAGUUCAGCCAGAUGAUUGUGAUGAUGGGCAAUCCACCUGAUGACAACUAACAAUUACCAUACUUUAACUUUAACAAAUAUAUUCUUUUCAAACAUUUUGGUAUUAUUGCAAACUGUUCUGGUAUAUUGUAAUUUAACAAUAUUUAAAAUAAUAAUAUACCUAGAUUAAAUAUACUUCAAUUAAAUAAUUGACCGUUUCUGACAAUCCAAGAUAACAUUUAUUUCAGUUUCAUCAGUGUACAUUGCAUUGAGAAAUAAUACCAUGUGUCUUAAUAUCAUAUACUUUUUUAAAUUAUGAUGUAUGUACAGCUGCUUUGCAACAAUGAUAAUUGUGAAAAGCGCUAUAUAAAUACAAUUGAAAAUUGAAUAUUUUGCAGGUAGGAAUCGUUAUCUUAAUUCUUAGCUCAUUGGUUAGACUCAGUUAGUCAGUUUAAAUGUGUUUAUAUAAUAUAUGUAUAGUUAUGUGUAAUGUUAUUUGUAAUCUCCAACGCUGCUCCUGAAGAGCUACCAUCCUGCAGACUUCAGCUCCAACCCCUCUUCAGUACAUCUGUCUGUAUUUAUCCAGCAACCCUGAACACUUUGAUAGGAUGGAACAGGUGUGUUUGAUUGGGGUUGGAACUGAUAUCUUCAGGACGGUAGCUCUCCAGGAGCAGGGUUGGAGAGCCCUGGUUUAAGUUAUGUGUUAAAUGUGUAACACCGUGGUCCUGUGAGACAUAUCAUUUCUUUGUAUGUCCCCACAUAUAACAGAAUGACAAUAAAACUGAGCUGACUUGAAUGUG